UGAGCAACCUGCCCUUCAGAGGGGGACAACAGUUGGAAACGACUGCUAAUACCGCAUAACAUAUCCGGGAGGCAUCUCCUGGAUAUCAAAGAUUUAUCGCUGAAGGAUGGGCUCAUGUCUGAUUAGCUAGUUGGUGGGGUAACGGCCCACCAAGGCUGCGAUCAGUAGCCGGUCUGAGAGGAUGAACGGCCACAUUGGGACUGAGAUACGGCCCAGACUCCUACGGGAGGCAGCAG
rnacentral:rRNA from 1 species